UACGGGGGGAGCAAGCGUUGUUCGGAUUUACUGGGCGUAAAGGGCGCGUAGGCGGCUGUUCAAGUCUGCUGUCAAAGCGCAGAGCUUAACUCUGUACAGGCGGUGGAAACUGAAGAGCUAGAGUAUGGUAGGGGUAGAGGGAAUUCCCGGUGUAGCGGUGAAAUGCGUAGAUAUCGGAAGGAACACCAGUGGCGAAAGCGGCUUCCUGGUCCAGCACCGACGUUCAGGCACGAAAGCGUGGGGAGCAAACAGG
rnacentral:rRNA from 1 species